AUCCAGCUUUGUGACGUAGGGUAACGUGAAAUUUCAAUAAAGCAAAGUGUUCACGGCAUUUAUUCAGUUGUAAGGUGUUACUCCAGUGCAUGCAUUUUAUUGUAGCUCCUUUGAAUGAACGAUGGCGAAUACUUCGGGAAAUUUUAACUCGGGACCUGGAGACCUUGGGGUAGGUCGUUUUGUUCGAUUUAACUGUGCAGUUAAUAUGAACAGUUAAUCUGAGUUUAGAUGAUUGUGAUCUUUUAUCUAUGAUCGCAAAAAUGACACAUUUCAAGUCCUUCGAAGUUAUCGUGGUAUCUAGACAAACAUGCAAUAAAUGAUUUACUAAGUAACAAACAUCACAUUGUUGUAUAGUAUGGCGUUUAAUGUGUAUAGAUGUCAUACAGUGUGGGCUGAUUAAGUAUAUUAUAUUAUAGUGCAGUUAUAAUGUUAACCGUUGCUUGGUGAUUCAAUCAGGAAAUAUAGGAUGAAUGCAAAUUACCAAGUGUAAUGCCAUGAAUUUAGUCUCCAGGCAGCCAAAAUAAUUGUAAUCUCACUAUAAAUUUAUAUUUGAACAAAGAUGAGUGCUCAUUUUUUUUGUUUCGUUUUUUCUUGCAGGAGUUUGUGUGUCAAUAUUUUGACGAAAUCAUUGAUGUGGACAUCUGUAGAGUCAGUGUCCUACCUUUCACCAAGCAGUUUUCUGCGGAGAAAUUGCAGAUGAUCAGGGCUGCAUUCAUUAUCGCGUUCUCUGAUGAGGAGCUGGACUGGGCCAUAGAAAAAGUCAUAAGAUGUGUAGGAUUCCUCACCCUGAACAUCUUGAUGCCUGCCUUGCGGGUGUGCGGACGGAUGGAGGCCAGUGCCACCCAGAGGGAGAUACUAUUGGUGCAGGCUGCAGCUGGCGGUAAGGAGGUCUACAAAGGUCCUCGAGCAGAAGGAGACUGCAUCGAUGCCAGGAUUUUUAAAACGGCCCACAGAUUUGAUGAUGUGGAGAGCCCCAUGCCAGCGAGUCAGUCACGUGCUGACUUCAACAUCCUUUACUCACGAAGACUACCAAAAGGCAGACAGAACCAUGCAAACGAAUUUAAAUUUGUUGUUGCUAAGGCACUUGAAAUCCCAACAUUGCUCCUGGAGUCGUUGACUCCCGGGUAUGCUGUCUGGAGGAGAGGGUUCUAUGCAGGCUCUCAGGACAUCUCUGAGUUCCUCAAAAACAAUAAGAAUCAACUUCCGACGAGACAAGCCUUCAUUGGGCUGAUUCAGAUAACAUCAGAGCUACUGAUUGACUUGAGGACGUUGAUUUUACGCAAACAAUCCACCAGGGCAGAGGGUAGUGUCACCCAGGAGGGCAAUUACUUCAAAUUUGAGGACUUUAUCAAGUUUAUAUUGGAUCAAUUUGUCCUAGAGUCUGCCAGAAACUUUCUUGAGAGACUCAUGAAUGCUCCGAGUCUUUUACGGCUGCGGUAUGCCUCCAGGAUAGGGACAGAAGCAGCAGAGAUGGCAUUCCUCUCGCAGGUGUUUGUGCCGGAGAGAGGGUCGGUAAUGAAGCUGCUCAUCACAGCCAUCUCCAAGAAUGUGGCUUAUUUCCUUCAUGACGCUUUGGACAUAAUGGCCAGAAAGAGAGCCCAGUUAGUGUCUGACACCGACUCUGAGACGGAGUACUCCCACACUGAGACACACUCAGACACCUCAGUGUCCACAUCUAGUUUGACUGAGGACACCCUCCAGUCUCAGGACUGUGCUGGACAAUGUGAGACUCUGUCCCCUGGACAAGGAGGAGGUGCUCUGGCGGAGCGAGGAGUCACCCAAACACUGACCACCUCCAGCAGCAGCAGCAGCAGUGAGGUCAGCAGGUCUCACAGUACCUCCACCUGCUCUCUGAACAGUCUUCCCCCUGAGAGACCCCAUGAGUCCUCCAGCCUUUUCAUCAGGCCUGGGGAGGCUGUUGCAACUGUAGGCAUGAGCCCUCACGAGGACUCAGCAAAUGUGAAGUCCUCAAGAGGAGAGGAUAAACAGCGGAGAAAAAGGAUAUUUACAAUCCGCUGGAAAUCUAAUAGAUCUAUAGCUCCAGCACCAGUUACAGUGGUGGAGACGUCUGCUCCCCAUUCCACAGUGAGGACCAGUAGGCCGUCUCUGUCAUCUCGCAUAGCCUCUGGCAUCUCCAGACUCCUCUGCUGUUGUAAAGGUCAGGAGUGACCUCUUGUGGCAGGAAGAGGAGUUGAACCUCCUUUAGUUUCAAUGUUUUGCUCAUGCCUGAAGAUUCAAGGUCCACGAUCCCAAUUGCUUUGGGCCAAGGGCUUGUAAAAAUACUGAUCUGACCACUUUUAAAAGUACCUUACCUUGGGCUGAGGGGGAGAUCAUAACAGGCUGCACAAGAGCAGGAUGCAGUCAGUACCGUUAUGAUGUUGCUCUGUAAUGAGUUCACAAUAAAAUUCCUUCCUUUGGAC
rnacentral:lncRNA from 1 species